AUCCUACGGGGGGCAGCAGUGAGGAAUAUUGGUCAAUGGACGGGAGUCUGAACCAGCCAAGCAGCGUGAGGGAUGACUGCCCUAUGGAUUGUAAACUUCUUUUAUAAAGGAAUAAAACGAGGCACGUGUGCCUGGUUGCAUGUACUUUAUGAAUAAGGAUCGGCUAACUCCGUGCCAGCAGCCGCGGUAAUACGGAGGAUCCGAGCGUUAUCCGGAUUUAUUGGGUUUAAAGGGAGCGUAGAUGGGUUGUUAAGUCAGUUGUGAAAGUUUGGGGCUCAACCGUAAAAUGUCGAUUGAUACGGGCG
rnacentral:rRNA from 1 species